AUUGAACGCUGGCGGAAUGCUUUACACAUGCAAGUCGAACGGCAGCACGGACUUCGGUCUGGUGGCGAGUGGCGAACGGGUGAGUAAUGUAUCGGAACGUGCCCAGUCGUGGGGGAUAACGUAGUGAGAAUUACGCUAAUACCGCAUACGAUCUAUGGAUGAAAGCGGGGGAUCGCAAGACCUCGCGCGAUUGGAGCGGCCGAUAUCAGAUUAGGUAGUUGGUGGGGUAAAGGCCCACCAAGCCAACGAUCUGUAGCUGGUCUGAGAGGACGACCAGCCACACUGGAACUGAGACACGGUCCAGACUCCUACGAGAGGCAGCAGUGGGGAAUUUUGGACAAUGGGCGAAAGCCUGAUCCAGCCAUUCCGCGUGCAGGAUGAAGGCCCUCGGGUUGUAAACUGCUUUUGUACAGAACGAAAAGGUUUCUACUAAUACUAGGAGCUCAUGACGGUACUAUAAGAAUAAGCACCGGCUAACUACGUGCCAGCCGCCGCAGUAA
rnacentral:rRNA from 1 species